rnacentral:lncRNA from 1 species
UGAGCUGGUUUGUGAUGAUAGGGCACAGCCGCUGCUGCAGCCUCAGGAACAGGACGGGGAGGUGGGAACCCAGUGCACCAAGCAUGCACAGGUGUUUCUGAGGAGUAAUUAGAGAGCUGUGGAGGCUAAAACACACCUUUUGAGUUUUUACCUGUGAACACAGUGCGCUGAGAGAGACACUCUGAACGCAAAGAGGAAGAGACUUAAAGUCACACCAAAGAGACACUCAAGUUGAAAGUUUUGUUGCUGCUUUUUUUUUUUUUUUUUCUUUUCCUUGCUAUUUUAUUUUUCCCCCGUGUGUCAGAACCAUGGUCAGAAAGCCCGUCGUGGCCACCAUCUCCAAGGGAGGUUACCUGCAGGGAAAUGUCCACGGAAGGCUGCCUGCCAGGGGUGGCAAGGAGCCUCCUCCAGCGGCAGCGGGGCAGGAGAGAGUGGUGCUGAAGAAGAAAAUCACCCUACUGAGGGGCAUCUCCAUCAUCAUUGGCACCAUCAUCGGAGCAGGGAUCUUCAUCUCCCCCGAAGGGCGUGCUGCAGAACACGGGCAGCGUGGGCAUGUCCCUCAGCGUCUGGACCGCCUGUGGCAUCCUGUCGCUGUUCGGAGCCUUGUCCUAUGCUGA